UUCCCAGCCCACCACCCAGGGCAGCCCCAGGACCCCCAGAGACCCCCGUCCCAUGGCCAAGGCGGACUUGUGCCACCCUCCCUGCCCAGGGCUGACCUUGGCUGUCUGUCCGUGUCUGCCCGGGGGGCUGUUGGGCUGGAGGAAGGUUCUGGAAGGGGGUGGUGGCCAGAGGGAGCCAGCCCCGGGGGGGAGCCCCAGAGCCGGGCGAGGAACGGUGGUGCCCCGUUGACCCUUGCGGAGUGACCAGCUCAUUUUCUACCCCUCGCCCCAGGAGAGGCAUCGCAGGCAUGUUCGCUUCGACGUUCAGCAGAAAACCAGGUGUGAAGACACAGCCACCUCCUGUGGCACCUGCAUCCCACCCACCACCCUUGGGAUAAUGCCAGAGACCCAAGGAAACUGAUGGGAGACCAGUAACAUAAAUCACUGCGCUCAAUCCCUGCCAAGCAGCCCAAAAAGGUUACUUCACCUAGGAGAUCAGGGAACCAGCUACUUACAGAACCUCCAAUAAUACUUGAAGCAAGUCUUUUCUGUCUAUGACUAAUUCUUUUAUAAGCAAGAAGAAAGUCCACAAUACCCCAUUUGAAGGUCUGCGGCUCUGGGAGGGUGACGUGGGCCACCCUGCAGGUGUAA